rnacentral:rRNA from 1 species
GCACAAGCGGUGGAGCAUGUGGUUUAAUUCGAUGCACGCGAAGAACCUUACCUGGUCUUGACAUCCACGGAAGUUUUCAGAGAUGAGAAUGUGCCUUCGGGAACCGUGAGACAGGUGCUGCAUGGCUGUCGUCAGCUCGUGUUGUGAAAUGUUGGGUUAAGUCCCGCAACGAGCGCAACCCUUAUCCUUUGUUGCCAGCGGUCCGGCCGGGAACUCAAAGGAGACUGCCAGUGAUAAACUGGAGGAAGGUGGGGAUGACGUCAAGUCAUCAUGGCCCUUACGACCAGGCUACACACGUGCUACAAUGGCGCAUACAAAGAGAAGCGACCUCGCGAGAGCAAGCGAACCUCAUAAAGUGCGUCGUAGUCCGGAUUGGAGUCUGCAACUCGACUCCAUGAAGUCGGAAUCGCUAGUAAUCGUGGAUCAGAAUGCCACGGUGAAUACGUCCCGGGC